GCGGCUUUAGUGUAGUGGUCAUCACGGUUCGUUGUGGGCGAUCGAGGCUCCGAUUGGGUUUUCUCGUCAGCUGAACCGAGCAGACGGAUGUUCGAUUCCUCCAAGCCGCA